rnacentral:rRNA from 1 species
CCCUUAGAUGUUCUGGGCCGCACGCGCGCUACACUGAUUCAUGCAACAAGUUUUGUCCUUGGCUGAUAGGCCUGGGUAAUCUUUGAACGUGAAUCGUGAUGGGGAUAGAUGAUUGCAAUUAUUCAUCUUCAACGAGGAAUUCCUAGUAAACGCAAGUCCUCAGCUUGCAUUGAUUACGUCCCUGCCCUUUGUACACACCGCCCGUCGCACCUACCGAUUGAAUGGUCCGGUGAAAUCUUCGGAUCUGAGAGAUGUCUGAUUAAUUUCGGACGCCUUUUGGAAAAGUUGCUUAAACCUUACCAUUUAGAGGAAGGUGAAGUCGUAACA